rnacentral:rRNA from 1 species
UACGUAGGGUGCAAGCGUUGUCCGGAAUUAUUGGGCGUAAAGAGCUCGUAGGCGGUCUGUCGCGUCGGCUGUGAAAACUCGGGGCUCAACCCCGAGCCUGCAGUCGAUACGGGCAGACUAGAGUGCUGUAGGGGAGACUGGAAUUCCUGGUGUAGCGGUGAAAUCCGCAGAUAUCAGGAGGAACACCGGUGGCGAAGGCGGGUCUCUGGGCAGUAACUGACGCUGAGGAGCGAAAGCGUGGGGAGCGAACAGG